GGGCGGAGUCCGAAGGAAAUGUUAGCGAUGACAGCGGUCCGAGGUCUCUGAGUCUUUCCAGCGAAUCGGAAGAUUCACAGAAAGGGGCUCCCUUGGUCAGAGCAAGGGGGGUGCCGCGGGUGACACCCCAGGAAGAAGGGGCCAGAGGGGACUCAGAGAGCAGCAGUUGGAAAUCAGGACCAGCGUCCACACCAGAGUGCAGUAGGGGGGAGGAGUCCCAGGCAUCGGGAUCAGGCGGCGCACUGCCAGUGGGAGGACAUGAGUCAGGAUUGGCCACGCCUCCAUCGGGGAGCGAGGAAACGGUCGAGAGGAAGGUUGAAGGCUGGGCGCGCGCGCCAAGUUCAAAUGUACAGGAGGGCGGCGCAGUUGGCAGCCCGGAUAGGGAGCCAGGUCCCAAAGCCCGCCGAAAGAGGGGGAGGAGUCAGGAGGGUCAGCGUCAGAAGAAUCCAGGAAGGAAGGGACCCCGGGGGGUAGCAGGACCCAGAGGAGAAAGGAGAGACGUAAGAGGUGGAGUAAGGCUAGAAUCUUAAACUGGUGUACAGG